UAAAACGAGAUGAGAAAGACGAGUAGUCAGGCAUUAUUUAACCAGUGAGUCACCGGGAGUGGGAAGGUGAUAACCCUGUGGCUGAUGAAAAACACUUUCGAUCAAUUUAACCCAAAUGACCAUUGUCAGAGUAGGCUUAAACGGAUUGCCGAACCGUUACCAUCGGACAAGUAUGAGAUUGUACUUGUGCGGUCUGUACUUGAUAUGAGUUGGUUAGGGAGUUUCCCUAACAAUUUGGGUGGUACCGCGGAAAAAAGCCUUUCGUCCCAAGC
rnacentral:ncRNA from 1 species